AUUACCGCGGCUGCUGGCACGGAGUUAGCCGGUGCUUCCUUUAGCGGUACCGUCAAGUAUCAUGGAUAUUAGCCACGAUACAUUUCUUCCCACUCGACAGAGCUUUACGGUCCGAAAACCUUCCUCACUCACGCGGCGUUGCUGCGUCAGGGUUGCCCCCAUUGCGCAAUAUUCCUCACUGCUGCCUCCCGUAGG
rnacentral:rRNA from 1 species